rnacentral:piRNA from 1 species
UGCACUUCUGUGUGGGAGGUGGAAAUGGGA